CCCCCGCCCCGGAAACAAAGUCAUGUAAAUAUCCCAUGUGCUGUGGGCAGAGCUCCAGUGAGAACAAACCUCUGUGCUCCAAGGUCGGAUUAGGAGUGUGUUCAGAUAAUGACAUCUGAAAACAGGAUGGCUGGGAGCUGCAGCAGAGCAACGAGGGGGCUUUGAAAGGGAGUCUAAUCCUCUCUGUUAAUAAGGAGGCAGCUGCUGCCAAUGCAUCAGGCUUGGCAAGCGCUGCUUUGCUGCUCCUGGGCUCUCUGACGGGUGGCAGAGAGGUGCAAAGACCCAGCUGCUUUGAGAUGGUAGGGGAAGAGCCACACAGGAGGGAUUUUCUGCUUUCCUUGGGUAAAACAAGAACUUUGACAUUGCUCUUUCCCCCCAUCCCCAACAGCACUUUGGCAGGAUGGGCAUCAGAGCAGUGCUUCAUGCUGGGCCAGUGUCUAGGAGCAGUUCAUCUGACACUGCAGAGGCUGUGACCGAGGCUGAGAGGGUGGAUAUGCAGACACCCCGAUACCUGCCAGAACCAGUUGCAUUUCCAGGGCACUCAAGCCUGGCCUUAUCAGGAAGGCAGCUGGGUGUGUGCUGGGCUGUGUGCAGUCUCCCUGCCUCACUGGUGAAAGAACAGCUUUGGGCAGGGUGGAGGGCGUGGGGGUCAACACAGAGGCAGCUCUUGUGCAGAGUUACGUCCUGCUCCAUGUACCAAUUCCCACAAGGACUGCUAGGAUGUGUGCCUGUAAAGGUCUUCCACUGAGGGGCAAGUUGGUACCUGGCAGGUACCACGAGAGCAAUUGCUUUAGAGCACAUGAAGUGCUGUGAACACUUUUUUUUUUUUUUUUUUCAAAGUCACUUGCUUGCUUCCUUGUAAAAUGGCAUCUACUGCCCGUCCCCAUCUGCCUCGUUCAGAGCAAGGAUGCUGGUGAUGAAAGCCUGUUCUAGACCCACCUCCGGUGUGGAAGUGCCCAGGCCUGGGAUGAGUCUUGGAUAGGAGAAUGGUGGGGACAAGCUGUAUUGAGCUUGCAGUGGUUUUAUCUAAUCUAUUGUUCCUUUACAGUCAGCACUCAUGACUGCUGGAUCAGUUGUACCGAGGCAGUGUUGCGUCGCACUGUGGCUGUCAGGGCACCCUCUUCCCUGAAAGACUUUCUCAUCCCAGAUGGCAGUCGCCGUACGUGGGAAGCGCAUGGCGUAUACAACUUUCUGCAGCAGGAAAAAGCUAUGGAGUGGCCAGAAUCAAACCACAAUCUCCAGUAUCAACAUGCAACACAGACAAGGUUGGAGGCAAGAAUUUCUCACCAGGUGCAGAACUGCAAAGUUUCAGAGCAAGGGCAUGAAAAAGAGAGAUGAUACCUGGUACACUCUCUUCCUUUAGCCACUAGACAACAUCCAGUCCCUAGCACCCAGCUGAAGAUUAAAAGCCUCAACAGAUGUAAUCCCAAGCAAAUCUCAAUGUUCAUGAGGGAUAGCUGGAACAUGCUCGUGAGUGGAACCCAUGGCACCGUGGCUAGGAGCGUGAAUCCUCCUUCACUGGGAGCUCAGAGCAUUAAACUUGGCACAUGUAUCCUGGUCCUGCUGCAUUCAGAGACUGGAAAUACGACUACUGACGUGACUGUCCUAGUGCCUGCAUGCUGAGACAUUGCAACAGGGGAACACAGACUGAAACCAGUGACGUAUGUGUAUGCUGUGUUCACAUGAAGCUGUUGUGGCCUGACAUGGCAUGGUCUUCUCUGGAUAGUUACAUGGUUCCAUGCUCUCCUUACCGGCGCAGGUACAUCUUCCAUGGCUCAGAGAGCUUCUCCUGGACAAGUGCCUUCACUGCCUUGCCCAAGUACUGUG